rfam:Larimichthys crocea isolate SSNF unplaced genomic scaffold scaffold476, whole genome shotgun sequence.
CUGGGAACAACAUCCUGAUGCUGUCUGGGUGUGUAAAGCAGAACUCCAGCAUCAGUGAUUUUGUUGCCAG